UACGAAGGGGGCUAGCGUUGCUCGGAAUCACUGGGCGUAAAGCGCACGUAGGCGGACUCUUAAGUCGGUGGUGAAAUCCUGGAGCUCAACUCCAGAACUGCCUUCGAUACUGGGAGUCUUGAGUCCGAGAGAGGUGAGUGGAACUGCGAGUGUAGAGGUGAAAUUCGUAGAUAUUCGCAAGAACACCAGUGGCGAAGGCGGCUCACUGGCCCGAUACUGACGCUGAGGCACGAAAGCGUGGGGAGCAAACAGGG
rnacentral:rRNA from 1 species